rnacentral:rRNA from 1 species
CCAUGGGCAGGUUGAAGGUUGGGUAACACUAACUGGAGGACCGAACCGACUAAUGUUGAAAAAUUAGCGGAUGACCUGUGGCUGGGGGUGAAAGGCCAAUCAAACCGGGAGAUAGCUGGUUCUCCCCGAAAGCUAUUUAGGUAGCGCCUCGUGAAUUCAUCUCCGGGGGUAGAGCACUGUUUCGGCUAGGGGGCCAUCCCGGCUUACCAACCCGAUGCAAACUGCGAAUACCGGAGAAUGUUAUCACGGGAGACACACGGCGGGUGCUAACGUCCGUCGUGAAGAGGGAAACAACCCAGACCGCCAGCUAAGGUCCCAAAGUCAUGGUUAAGUGGGAAACGAUGUGGGAAGGCCCAGACAGCCAGGAUGUUGGCUUAGAAGCAGCCAUCAUUUAAAGAAAGCGUAAUAGCUCACUGGUCGAGUCGGCCUGCGCGGAAGAUGUAACGGGGCUAAACCAUGCACCGAAGCUGCGGCAGCGAACGUAUCACCCAAGACAACUUUACGGAGUUGACGAUUGACGGAGCGAAGCGACGUCAAAGCGUUCAUUAAAGUCGAGUUGGCUUAGGGAUACGUUCGUUGGGUAGGGGAGCGUUCUGUAAGCCUGUGAAGGUGUGUCGUGAGGCAUGCUGGAGGUAUCAGAA